rnacentral:sRNA from 1 species
GGUUUCAUUGGGGUUGGUAUAUGCUGC